GACGAACGCUGGCGGCGUGCUUAACACAUGCGAGUCGAACGGCAAGGCCCUGCUUGCAGGGUACUCGAGUGGCGAACGGGUGAGUAACACGUGGGUGAUCUGCCCUGCACUUUGGGAUAAGCCUGGGAAACUGGGUCUAAUACCGGAUAGGAGCCAUUUUUAGUGUGAUGGUUGGAAAGUUUUUUCGGUGUAGGGUGAGCUCGCGGCCUAUCAGCUUGUUGGUGGGGUAAUGGCCUACCAAGGCGGCAACGGGUAGCCGGCCUGAGAGAGUGGACGGCCACAUUGGGACUGAGAUACGGCCCAGACUCCUACGAGAGGCAGCAGGGGGGAAUAUUGCACAAUGGGCGCAGGCCUGAUGCAGCGACGCCGCGUGGGGGAUGACGGCCUUCGGGUUGUAAACACCUUGCGCGAGGGACGAAGCUUUUUGUGACGGUACCUAGAGAAGAAGCACCGGCUAACUACGUG
rnacentral:rRNA from 1 species